GUGCUGACCUCAGCGCACAUGCACUAAAGUUGGAACGGUACAAAGAAGGUUAGCCUGGUCCCCGCACCAAGGAGACAACAGAGAUAGGGAUUCCUUACACCUGAGC
ensembl:snRNA U6 U6 spliceosomal RNA